GUCCCUCCCAGCCCCCCCCAGUCCAUCCCAGUAUAUCCCAGUCCCUCCCAGUAUAUCCCAGUAUGACACCCAGUCCCUCCCAGUCCCUCCCAGCCCCCCCCAGCCCCUCCCAUGAUGCCCCCCAGCCCCUCCCAGCCCCUCCCAGUAUAUCCCAGUAUAUCCCAGUCCCUCCCAGUAUGACUCCCAUUCCCCCCCAGCCCCUCCCAGUAUACCCCAGUAUGGCUCCCAGUCCCUCCCAGUAUAUCCCAGUCCCCUCCCAGUAUGCCCCAGUCCCUCCCAGUCCCUCCCAGUAUAUCCCAGUAUGACUCCCAGUCCCUCCCAGUCCCUCCCAGUCCAUCCCAGUCCCUCCCAGUAUAUCCCAUCCCAUCCCAGUCCCUCCCAUAUCACUCCCAGUCCCUCCCAGCCCCCCCCAGUCCAUCCCAGUAUAUCCCAGUCCCUCCCAGCCCCUCUCAGUCCCUCCCAGUCCCUCCCAGUAUAUCCCAGUAUAACUCAGUCCCUCCCAGUAUAUCCCAGUAUGACUCCCAGUCCCUCCCAGUAUCACUCCCAUUCCCUCCCAUUCCCUCCCAGUCCCUCCCAGUCCCUCCCAGUAUAUCCCAGUAUGACUCCCAGUCCCUCCCAGUCCCUCUCAGUCCCUCCCAGUCCCUCCCGGUAUAUCCCAGUAUGGCUCCCAGUCCCUCCCAGUGCCCUCCCAGCCCCUCCCAGUCCCUCCCUGUAUAUCCCAGUCCCUCCCAGUAUCACUCCCAGUCCCUUCCAGUCCCUCCCAGUAUAUCCCAGUAUGACUCCCAGUCCCUCCCAGUCCCUCCCAGUAUGGCUCCCAGUCCCUCCCACCCCAUCCCAGUCCCUCCCAGUCCCUCCCAGUAUAUCCCAGUAUGACUCCCAGCCCCAUCCCAGUCCCUCCCAGUCCCUCCCAGUAUAACCCAGUCCCUCCCAGUAUGCCCCCCAGUCCCUCCCAGUCCCAUCCCAGUCCCUGCCAGUCCCUCCCAGUCCCUCCCAGUAUCACACCCAGUCCCUCCCAGUAUAUCCCAGUAUAACUCCCAGUCCCUCCCAGUCCCUCCCAGUAUCACUCCCAGUCCCUCCCAGUCCCUCCCAGUAUAUCCCAGUCCCUCCCAGUAUCACUCCCAGUCCCUUCCAGUCCCUCCCAGUAUAUCCCAGUAUGACUCCCAGUCCCUCCCAGUCCCUCCCAGUAUGACUCCCAGUCCCUCCCAGUCCGUCCCAGUACACCCCAGUAUGGCUCCCAGUCCCUCCCAG
ensembl:lncRNA